GGGAAGUGAUGUGGCACAUGCACGUGAAAAAUGAUGGGUGGGGAAUAUUAACCCAACUAGAAAGGAACUUGGGAGAGGUGCCAGGUCAUGUUCUGGUUCAAGCCCUUCACUUGGCACCUAGUUUGUGUCAACUCAGUGGCCCACUCGGUAAAACCCGUGCCUCUGAGAAGACCUAUGGAGUUAGGGGAAUGAAGGAAGUAUCUCUUUAUUUUUGUUUUUAAACAUAAUUUGGACCAGGACAUGAUGGGGACUGUCCCUUGGACAACUGCUUACUCAUGGCUCUUGCAUUGCUCAGCACUCUUCAUACCCUGGAUCACGCCUUUCAUCUUGAAAGCAGCUGAUGGUGUCAGCACAUAUUGCUGAUGUGGUGGAAAAGGUUUCUAACAUGUACUUGGUGUUUUCAGUGCAGCCUGACAGCAAGAAAUGACUCCAGGAGCCAGUGCUCAGCCAGCAGCUGUAGCACUUCACCAGUUUGGAAGGAAAUCUGGAAGUGCCUGGUCUUGGAAAAUCACUGUGGUCACCUGCCUUCUGCGAUCAUUAAACUUCAUGAAGGACAGCAGGUUUCUCUCAGACCUUAAACGUGCAGUUUUCAGUCCAUUGUGGCUCCCUUGUAUUCAUAGCAGGGUAACCUUUAGACACUCGAUAGCAUUAGUCUUCUGUGCUAGUCUAACCACGGUCUGAUGAGGAUCCAAGCUUAGGGGGACAGUAGAUCACAGAUGUGUUUAUAUGCCUCUUGUUGUGAACCCUGAAAUGAAUCAGUGCUGGAUCAGAGUUUUUCAGCUUCUUCAUAUGAGAAGUCCAGUUAUCCCUGACAUCACCCUGGAAUGACCAGACCACAGCAAUGGUCAAGCCCUGGGUCUUCUUCUGAGAUGCUGGGAUUCAGGAGGCAGAAGGGCCUGUAAGAGGUGUUGGAUGGGGAUUCCUGUCUGACCACAAUAGCUUUAUUGACCUACCAUGUCAUGUGAGAGGUGCACAGUGACAUAAGUCGGGAUUUAUAGUUUGAAGGUAACUAUUCCAUAGAACCAAAGACCAUAGAUUAAAGAAUGUCCUUCAAGAAACGCUGAGUAUCCGAACCCAGGAAACUGUUAUGUAUGAUUUGAUGAAAUAAUUAAGAAAAUAUGCCUGGUUUCCUUCAAUGAAACAUGCAAGCCACCUCUAAAUGUUCUCUUGUUAUGUAGAGAUUUUACUACUUGGAUCCUAAUUUUUCACAGCUGUAAACAGAAGACAAAGGGUGGUGGAAAAAAACAGUCUUAAGUAGGAAGGAAGAGGUGUGUGAUCAGAAAACCUUUGGCAAGUUAAGAGGAUUAAGAAAGGCCCCAAUGUUCUGAUUUUAAGUUCUCUGAGUUGGACUAACAUCAUGGAUUAGAUUUGGGUGGUUAAGAGGAAGAAAAUACCUCAUUAAAAAGAAGCAAUUGGGUUUAAAGUUGUUGUAAGACAAUGGCUGAAACAGCUCAACUGGAAUGGUCUCGCUUGCUUAAUUCUGGGGUUUUGUGUGUGUUUUAAUGCCCUCUCCCACCUCUUCACUCCCAAUCUAAAAGCCUGCAGGAUUUGCUUUAAAAUAUAUUACUUUUUUAACUUUUCCCCUCUUGGUUUUGCUGUAUUUGGGCUGUGUCACACUCAACAGUGAAGCUGGGCUGAUGUCAGGGGCCAGGAAACCUUUGUUCCAGGGAGUGUGAAUGCUAAAAAGUAGUGCUGAAAAAAUAAGAGGCCAGUCUUAUUUUUAUCCAAUUAUUUCAAGUCUACCUCUCUCUUCCUUUACAAAAACAAUGCUGGAUUUUGUACCCUUAUUCUUUGUGAGGUAGUAAACUAGCAGUAACUAAGGGAACAACCAUUGCAGCGACAUUAAACUCUACAAGUUGAGAAGGGGACUCAGGGCUGGGCUCUGCCGCCCCUUUCUCAGCUAAAGCUUUCUGAAAACACACACCAGCAAAGUCAUGGGAAGACUGGAGAGGGUCUCCAUAUUUUGGAGACAGUGGGAUAAAUACCAAUCUGAUAGAGCAGGAGCAAAAGCAAGAGCAGCACAGCAAGAAGGCAGCCAGGAGGUUGUAGAGUGGCAAACAGCAAAGCAAAAAAAAAAAUGUUAAGCUGUCUCUGUGACCCCCUUUCCUGAGAAAUCACCUGACAACCAUCUAGAGCUGGUUGAAGGCUCAUGUGGCAAGGUUACCCAUGAUUUAAAGCUCUCGUGUGGCAUGUCGACAAGUGUUUAAGCCAACAGCGGAGUUGAAUGUGCCAUGGCUUGGGCAGGUACAAGUCCUGUUGGCAUCAUCCCACAUGGAGUUCCAUCCAUGGAGCAGAUUAGUCCAAGAGGAUGUCAGAAGAUGCCACAACAUUCCUUGGUUAAGCAGGUAUGGGUUUGAAAGGGAUUUGUGUUCUCGAUGGCAGCAAUGCUGAGGACGAACCUUCGUUGACGUGUGUGGGACCUCAUGCCCUUGGACCAUCUCGCCAUUACCUCGGCUGCCUUCUCUUGUGCCUGCCCUUCAACCAGGAAGCUUUUUUUCGUUUUCAUACUGAAAGCAGAGCAGCUUCUCUGAGAGAAGCUCUCUCAGCCAUAAUAUCUUGCCAAUGGAAAAAGUGACACUAAAAAUAAACUUGUUUCGGAAAGAAGCAAAAGCAGCUUCCAAAAAUCCCAAUCUAAAGAGAAAAAGGGAAAAAUACAAACCAAAACCCGCCACCCCAGUCUAGACAGCUGCACUAGGUGGAGGCAACAACAACCAAAAGGAAUAAAUUAAACUGUGGUUAAGGGGAGAAUUUGUCUCCCCUGAUUGCAAGACAAAAGAAACCCAAUUCCUUGUUUGUAGAAAGAGAUGUUUGGGAAUUUCUCGGGCCAGCUGAGGGCCUAUUAGAGUGAUGUGAACUGGAAAUGGAGUUAGAGGGCUUUGGCUGUUUGCAUGACCCAACUCUGGACCACACACAAUAUGCAAAGCUUUGACAAGGCGGCGAGAAGUGGUAGGUGGCAAAACCGCCUGUUAUUCCACUGAUGAACAAAAUGCAUUUCUGCUGUGUGACCUUGGCACCAUCCGCGGUGGUGACAGAAGGAAAAACGAGUCUCUCUCCUUCCAGAUGUCCACCUCUGGUUCUCAAAACUGCCCACCAGCUAUAACUGUAUCAGUAAUUAAUGGAUGCAUGUUGUGACCAUGGUUUUAAAAUCCAUGAGGUGUUGGACUUCCCCUUUUUAUUCUUCCAUCUGUGAGCAAACCAAAGGUGGGGUCCUGCCAGUGCUCUGGGUGGGUUUUGCUGGUUUCAGCUUCAUGUUAUUCCUGGGUGUUGCGGCUGCACAAUUCGCAAAGGGGUUUUUUGCUUUUUCUGUUUCCUCAGGCUUCCACGUACGCCUGUGUGCCACACAAACUCUGACUUGCUUGCCAGCUAUUUGAUUCGGUGUGGGCAGGAUUUCAUCCUGUGUCAGUCCUCACAGAGACUUCAAUGGAAAAAAUUUCCAAUAUUUGUUUAUUUUUUAACUUCUAAAGAAGCAACUGAAAACUCAUCUAAAGAAAUAGCCAUGGUUGUAUUCUCAGUUGUCUUUGUCUUCUUAAUGGAAUCUGUCAUUGGUCUGCGUAUGAUCUGUCUUGUGAAAAUGAAAACAUUUUCAAGAGAGGACAUUUAAAACACAGGAAGGAAAUUUAAAUGUUUCUGGUUUGGGAACUGUACCUGGAGCCUGCCCUGGGCCUCGGUUCCUAUCCUACAUCACACAUAGCAAUGCGAGAACCUACAGGUUAUCACACUUUGUGUCUUCUGUCCCAGAAAUAGGCAGCUCACAGACAAAAAAUGAGGCCAUCUUGUCCACUUGUAGUUGUUAAGGGUCACUUGACAUUUGGUAAAAGCCCCAGUGUUUGCCCCAGUGUCCAGACUGAAUUCCAGUUUUGCUUAUUAAGGUUUUUCCCUACACUCAUCCCAUAAUUGCAACUGAACUCCAGAUUUUUCUUCACUUUUCCUGCAGCCUCGCACUGCAGAGGGGCUGCAUUUCAGUGGUAAACAGAAAGUGGGGUUUUUUGGUAUGACCAGUUAGUAAAAUAGCUCAAGUACAUAGACAGCCAGCUGGAGGGGAAAAAAGAAAAAAAAGAGUUUGCAGUUGGAUAAUUUAUUCACUGCUUGCAAGUUUCCUUUUUCUAUUGAAUUAUUGUUUAAAAAUUGGCUUGUUACUAUUUUUUAAGGUAGUGGCCAGCUGUUUACAACCAAGCACAUAUAGCUGAUGAAAUCCCAGUACCUUGGACCAGGAGAUAUUUGGUUUGAUAUCAAACCUGGCUGAGAGUACAUGGAGAGUUGUGUUAUUUUCUAAGCCCCAGUGAGGGCAUUGCUGGCACGAUGGGCAAUUGCAGAGGUUAAACUCAAGGGGUUUAAUGCUCAGAGAGGUUCAGUGAAGCAUCCCUAUCCAUGGCUUGUGGUCUGUGGCAGGCUAGGCUUGUUUGCUUGGCAAGUGGUGACACCACAUAGACAGUUUGGGUUGGGUUUGGUUUGUCAUCUUCCUUUGUCAGGCUGGUUUUAAUAAGCCCUAUUGGGGGUUUAGCUUGCUUUCCUGAGGAAAUGAACCUGAUGUUAUCACACCAUCUACAUCAGUUUACAUUCCUUAUCCCCUAUGAUACUUUCUGCACAUUAUGGUCUGCAAAAUACCUGCCAGUAUUGGGAAAGCAGUGGGCUAGGAGGGGUGAGAGGUGCAUGCUAGCAUCCCACCGAGGGACCAGCUGGGCUGUCACUGCACCUUGGGGUGAAACACCAGGGAACAGCAAGAGAGGCAGACAUUGUGGGUGCUCCAGCAAAAGAUGCUUUACUUAGAAUUUGCUCCUACAUUGGUAUGAAAUGACCCAGGACACACAGCCACAGAAAAUCCCUGCCUUGAUGAGUGCCAGUGGUGACAGGAAAACUUGAUUUAAGGUAUUUAUGUUUGCCUGGAAGAAGCCACGCUGCUAAGCAGCAGAUGAGUUCACCUGGCAAUGGUGAGAAGCUAGUUAGUGUAAAGGGGAACCCGUGAGGAUCUCUGCUAUAAUAAAUCCACCCUGUGCAAACAAAAAAUGAACAGGAUGAUUGGAGCUGUGGUUUUUCCCAGCUGCUUUGCAAACACUGAACACCCCAUGAGGUGUGGGAGCCUGACUCAACCACAGCCGGGUUUACUGUGUGAACCGCAGGGACCAGUGCAGCCCGAACAAGGAUACGGGCAGAUAUUCAGUGAGAUGUUUCUGUAUGAACAGUUGAUAAAAGGCAUCAUGCUAUUUCUCCCCCACCUGAUCUGCUUCCUCCUCCCCAGCUCCUUUUGAUGUUUGCUUUCACAGUGAUUUCUUACCGUGUGAAAUUCAUCCUGGUUUUAAUGGUUUGGGGAUGAUGUGGUUUUUCAGAUGAACAGAACAAGGAUGUAGAGCUCUGAAAGAUGCCUCUGCUCUUUAUCAGUGACUUCUUUCAAGUACUAAAUGCUUUUUCUUUCCCUUUUUUGUUCUGCAAAGGUGGAUUCUUCCCCUGCCCUGUUUACUAAUUAAAAGUUAGUUGGUAAAGAAUAAGCAUAUUGUCCCUGCUGUGGUUUGAUCUAUUGUUAUUAGGGCUCUGUGUUGUUACAGAUGAGAUCAAAGAAUUUAAUUUAUGAUAGGUGGAUAGGUCAAGUUCAGUCGGCUGCAGCGAGUGCUGGGUAGAAAGCACAGUCAGACAAUAAUGUCUCAAGCAGUAGCUCAGGCAAUAAGCUUUUCCUUAUAAAUAAUACAGCCCCACUUUGUCCACUUGUGACUCAAGAAAGUCAAGCAGUCCUUUGGAUAUAAAUAUUUGAGGACAGCUGGAUGCAGUCUAUUAAAACCCCUCUUCCUUUGCUUGGUAUGAUAUCCACAGGAGAUAAUAUGACACCAGAAGAAUCUGAGGCUUAAGAUAAAGGAAAAAUCCCAGGACCGUGACUUUGUGUUUCAGCCAGCCCGAUUCAUAGGUUUGCAUCGUGUCUGCAUGCAUGCUGCAACUUCCUAUGGUAUUUUUAACAGGAUUUUGAAAUACCACUUGAGCUCGCAGCAAGAAUCUCUAACUGAGACCUAGAGUUGAUGCUGCAAAGCCUUAGUCACACCCUAAUAAUAAAAGGGGAAUGGGGCAAGGGAGCAAAUUUAUUGGGUCUGCUUAUAGUCUCUUGCUGCAAUAUUUUCCUUGAACUCUGCUCAAAGAGGAAUGGGUUGGAUUUUUUCCAUUUCAUCUUUAUUUAUUACGCAUCAGUGUGCAGCACUGUUAUGAAACCAAGAAAGACACCCACCUCUCCCCUAUGUCUAUGGAAACCAUGAGGGCUGGUUUGACAUACAAAAUGAGUAACCUGGGAGCAGUUUCUGGGCUCCAUUAUUGGUAUAUUUAUGAAUGCAUGGCUAAUAGAUCUGUAUACGUGGUACGUGCUUUCCUUGUAUUCUGCCCAGCUGGAGCCUGGAAGCUGUUUUGGGUGGGAACCACAUCUCCUUGUGCCUGUCUGGAGUGCACUCAGCCCACCAUGGGCUGGUGGAAGAGGCAGGGUAGCUUGGGGCUGUGACUUGGCUUAUAAUGGGGCAAAAAGAGCUUUACUGCCGGCUGCAUCGCUGAGCUUUGCCUCUCCAUGUAGGUUUUUCUGCCCCAGCAAGGGCUGUGGUUUCUUUAGGCCAGGCAAAUUCAUCACAAAACAGCAGAGCCAUAGCUGUGGCAUACAUGGCAAAUGCAAAAUGUCCCUGCUUUAAAAACAAAAUCCAUUUAUCCGUCUUGUUUCACAGUGGAGGAGGUAACUCGUUAGUGCUCUAAUGGAUGGGCUUCUAUGGGUGAGCAGCCUUCAUGCCCUGACGUGGCAGCUCAGCUCGCUCGCCCAGAGGGUCUGUGUUUUCUGUGCUGGUGAAGGUUUGGGUUUGAUCGGCAUCCCCAUCUAAAGACCCCAGGGUGCUCUUUCCUGCAUGGGGCUUCUGCUCCGGGUCCCUCUUAUGUCUUGGCUGGAUCGUUCUUGUCCGUGUUGGUGCUAGUUUUAGCUCUUCAUGUUGAUGCCUCCACCUUCUCUCUCUGUCUGCUCCCGCUCCCAAGCUGCAGCCUCCGUUCCUUGGAUGUGCACAGCACUGCUGCCCUGAGCACAGAACAUAUCUGGCUUUAAAAAAAAAAAAAAGUGGAAGUUAGUCAUAAAUUGGGAUGUUUUUGCAGGGUUAUUUUGAAGUUCAGAGCAUGGCUGGUGGCGCUGAGGGAUGCUCAGGGAGGGGACACCUUGCACCCGUAUCUCGGCUGGGCUCCCACCCGUGAGCUGGCCCCAGGAGAGCGACUGCAAACCACGCACGGGUCAGAAACAGUUUCUUCUGAUGGUUGUGUUGGAACAGCCUCAGGACUGGCAGCGGUAUUUCAGCUGCAGUGGCACUAUCACAAUAUUUGCAGUUCCUAAUAGCAUCCUUUUUUAGGGACUUUUUUCUUUUAACAUUGAGAGGUCAAACCAUGUAAGGCACAGCUGCAGCUGGUACAACCCCACGCUGCUGCUUCGUCUCUGGGAAGGUUGGUCAGUGCUGUUCUCUUAUCACUUUCUGACUUCUCCCUCAUCCGUACCUGCAGACUGAUAAUCUACAGCUGUGACAGGGCAAUAUUAGAAUAUACAAUGCCCUCGGGGAUUUUUUUAACCCGACAAGAAGCUGUGAAUAUAUGAUACCUCAGCACAUCCCUGUAAAUCUCGCAAGCCAAAAGUCAGAUCCAGGAAGCUCGCACAGUCCGGAUAAGCCUCGGGGAUGCUCACACACAUUGUGUUGCUCAUCCAAGCCCCAAAACUUUUAAAAUUUUCCCAUUACAGCUCAGUCUGCCAGUCAGCUUGGAAGCUUUAAAAGGGGAACUGGUGGGUGGUACAGUGUCUGUCUUAGAGUCUUUGUUGCAUUUACUGCCUCUUCAUUUUCUGGAAUAAAAGCUUAAGCUUUUAUUUCUGGUGGCUUUACAAUGUAUCAUCUUGGAAAUCACUCUUCCCCUUCAGUUUACUUAAUAACGCUCUCUAAAGUCAUCAGCUAGAAAGCAUUCGGUGGCAAUUACAAGAAAUCUUUUCAAACCCCACUCCCCUGUAUAGUGAGCAAGAGGGACAAAGAAGAUCAUUUACAACUUAUUUUUUCUGUCUUAGUAAAAUAAAAGCAGCCCCUUGAGAGGCAUUAGUAACUGUUGAGAACCAGUGUUUGGAUGUAGUAAUUUAUCUUCAUGUUUAUAGAAACCACAAUUAAAUAUUUUAAAAUCUCCAGAAAAUUAUAAUUAGAGAUCUCUAGCCAAAUUUUUGGGAAGGGAGAAUUAAAAAAAAAAAAAAAAAAAUUAGGAAGACUUUUAGUGUCUAGGGAUUUGUGGUGUUUGUUUCUUUUGACUAAUAUGUAUAGAGUAAACUGCCUGAGUCCCGAGGUGACUCAUGGGCUGUGCAGAUGGUGAGGUUUCCUCCAGGCUCACGGAGUCAAUUGAGUAGGAAGAGAUGCUGCGUAACUGCUUCCUGCAGUCCUGUGUCCUCGUCCCCUGCUGCAAAAACCAUAGGGUGUGUGAAAACCCCUCCUGGAGACCCAGCUGCAGGAACAUUGGGUUUUCCAGGCAAUUACGUUUUUUGGGAAGCUUGUGCUCUGACCUAAUGUGCAUGAAACGAGAUUAGUUGGGGUCUUCUGCAGGCUGCCAAGGUGAAACCAAGCAGAGGAUGCAAGUGUGUGGGAGGAGAGGGGCUCUUGGAGGACAAAGUACCUUCUUUCAGGGUCAAGUCUCCCAGAGCUGGUUCCUACCUGGGAGGGGUUUUGGUGUGAAUAGUGCUCUGCCUUCCUUAAAACCAUGACAGCUGAGCAUUUGUCGUCUUCAUUAAGAUCUUCAAGAAGCAGGAAAACCCCAAAUAAACCAACAAACAAAAAAACAAUGCACAACCAAAUGCUCCCUCCAGACCUUUUGUAAGUUAAUCCAUGGCUGCUUGAACAAGGUGCUACAGAGCUGUGGUCACUUCAUCUGACCUCUUUGGACACCAAACUCACCUCUCAUUUAACUGUGUGUUACCCAGCAAGCUGCAGCAUCCUCUCCCUUGUUGUCCUGAUGACCAUUGGUUCUGAAUGUAAAUAUCCAUUCGCUGGUCUCAUGCUGCGGAGUAAUUCCCUUUAUGCACGACGCAGGGAAUGAAAGCUCCCACCUACGUGAUGCUCAGCACAAGCUGUGGCUGAUCAGAUCCAGCCAAAGCGGACGGUCACAUCACGUUAACUCUGGUUGAAGUCAUCUGCUAAUGGUGCCUAAUUGAAAACUGAGCUCCUGCACAGACCUGGCCCUGACUCUGAGUAUUGAACCUUUCUGUAAAUCCUGACUCUAUUAUAGUAUCUUUACUAUGCAAAGCCUCUUCUUGGCUUGGGGAUGAAUGCAAGCUUGUAACAGCAUGCACUUAGUUAUAGAUGUAAUUUUAUUUGCCUUUGUUAGAAUCUUUAAUAUAAAACUCAGUAAAAAGACCUCUCUAAUAAAAAUGGCUCAGAGAAAUAACAAUAAACAGGUUUUAUGAUAUGGAAGAUGCAUUUAAAAAAAUGCUCCUAAGAAAAAUGAUCUUAAGAAUCUCAAAAAAAAAUAUGGAAUAUGUGAGAUAUUUUUUUUUCCCAGCCCGCUACAAUCAAAGAUGGGUGGUCUGCAUGCCAUGUGAGCUUCCUCGCCCUGGCUCUUGUGGGCAGGAGAAGGGGAGCUGUGCUCUGUCUCAGUAAUGAGCCCUGACUGUCCAGGAAAGCAUUUAUUUUUGCAAAAUUAAAAAGGAGCGGGGAGGGGGGGAGUCAAUGGAUCUGUUUAUAACUAUAUAAAAUGGCAGAAAAGUUAACGCUAACAUAUGUUGCUUCAUGUUCCAAGAGCAAAAACAUUUGCAGGAUAGUAGUCCAGAGCACAGGUGGUAAGUGAUCGAUACCUUUAAUUAUUUCUUUUUAAGGGAUGGCAGGACAGCUCAUGUGAGGGUGGGUGUGAACAUACAGAACCCCUAUAGGCGCAUUACAUUCAUUUGUGGAUACUGUAAGCAUUGUAUUACAUAGACUUAAAGGGUCUGUACCCAGGUACCAGGAUCUCUAAAGCUCCUGACCAUGAGGUUUUGUUCAGUGAAAGGUGUCCACACCAUGUGUGGUGGCUUGGUCCUAAAGGGAUGACAGGACAACAGGGCCGUGGGGUCAGUCAGUGGAAAACUGUGCAGAGGUUCUUCUCUGAAUCGUGGUCAUGGUCACGUCUCCUUGGUCAUGCAGAGUGAGCGAUGUGACGGGUAGAGAAGCAGUGUUAGUGCCCUUGUGAUUGCUGGAUUUGAUUUAGGCUAAAUGGCACAGACCUAAACAGGCUGUAUAUCUUUCUUUAGGGGUACAUAUUGAUAGAGAUAAAUCUUUCUUUCCUUAACCUCAAAUAUUUGAUUUGUGAUUACUUGUGUAUCUUGCAGAUUUUGCUGGAAGUGUCCUCUGGUGGUUUCACGACAGAACACAAACUUUUCAUUUUUCUGUUGCUGUGAGUGAUCAAAACUCUAUUUCCUGCCUUACUGUGUCUUCUGAGGGGGUGACUGGGGGAUGCUGGUGUGAGAUCAUCCCCUUUCAGAGGCUGAGGAACUGGGCUAUGACACCACAAUCUGAAUACAGAUGAGAUAACUGGUACAGGACCAGUCUGUCAGGCUGUUGGCACAAAAUAACAGUUGUUUUAUUGUUGGGGCAAUUUUGUAGGCACUAAUGAGACCUGGGACACUGGACAUGAGGCUGUGUGCGUCGUGGGUGUCUGCUUCGGGAGGACCAGAGCCAGCUGACAGCUUCAGAGUAUCUUCAAAGUCUGGAAGAAGGUGACAUGCUUUGUACAGAGGGCGGCAGUAAGAGAAAUGAUAAAUGCAUUGGACGAGUCAUCCUAUCUUUCACUGGACCAAGGGACAAAUCCAAUCGUGACUUCGCAUCCUCUUAAUUAAAGGUACCAAAUAUGUCCCAAGGACCGUUUCUCUCUGGUUUGAAUGGACUCGUCUGGAGAGACUGGUUUGUUCUUCCCAGCAGCGUUUACACUGGUGAGGUGACACCGUAUGGAUGCAAAUCGCGCGUUACCUCCCAAGAACAGCAACAACAAAAUCUGGAUUUGCAGUGGGGAAACAUAUAGUGUUAUUUUGCAAAGAGACUUCUUUGGUCCUCCCCAGCAUCGCCUUUGGAAAUUGGGCACUCAGAGCAUGAUGAAGAAAGUGGGAACUAUAACAAGCUCACUGGUGGGAGGUUCGUUCUGGGAGCCCGUGGAGGCCCCACUAGUAAAGGGCUGCUGGUUUCCUUUUCGAACUGGGCUGAAGCCAGGCAUUCCUGAGUGGCACCGGUCCUCCCAGCGCUGGAAAGGAAACAUUCCCGUUUGUGAGCUGUGGAAGUGCACGCUGAAGCCAAAGGUUACCAGGCUGAGGUGAUAUUUUUGCAUUCCUACGAUGUCUUAGCUUUUUAAAAUUAAAUUCUUACAACAUGAGGAUUUAAUCCCUUCUGGUAUAUACGGCGCGUGUGUGUGUAUGCUUGUGUGUGCAUAUAUAUAUAUAUGUAUUAUUUUUUUCCUACAAAAAUUUCAUCAGGCAAGUUAUUUGUGUUUUUGAAAAUUGGCUUAGAUACAGGGUCAGAAACUUUCCCCCCAGCGCCAGUGGGUUUGGGGUUUGUGGCUGAAUAGAGGGUCAAGUUUUAGGGUUGUACUGGAGUUGAAACUAAAUCUGGGGUUGAGAGCCACAAGGGAUGAAGUCUGUUGCAUUGUUCUUGAAUUAUUUUUUAUCAAAAAGAAUGGAAAUAAACAGUUUUCCUGUGCCCAAGUCUUUCAAAAGCAGAGUUCUACCACAUCGAAAAUGGUAUUACGAAAAUUAAUGGUUCCCAAUAUGGAAUUGCAUUCGAAAUCCAAUUCCAGAAGGGUAGGUUUGGAGCCAUAGACUAAAAAUUAAGCUCCAGGAAAACAAAAAGCAUUUUGUUUAUAGCACUGUGAUGGGUGGAGGAAGAACACAGACUGUGCCCUGCUCCUGCUUAGCAAAGAGUUAGAAAUCACUUGGGACCAGAUAGGUGUCCAGGAUGGGGCUGCCAAGUGGUGAAGGCAGCUGCAGGCAAAGCCCAGGGCUCCAGAGCAGAUAUUCAAGCCCAGAUUUACUUAAAUGAAGCCUUGGCUUCAGAGCACGGGCUUUGUCUCUGGGUACUUUGAGCCUGCACGCUCUCUGCCCCGCUUCUGUUGCCAAGAGAUGAAAGUAGCGGCUUUUUCUUGAGGGGGGAAAAAAAAAAAAAGGCUGUGAUCUAGGAUUUUUUCUUCUGCUGAGCUGCUUUGCCAGUUUUUAGAAGGUCAGACCUUGUUGCAGCCUUUCCAUACUUAAAAGGGGCCUAUAAGAAAGAUGGGGACAGUCUUUUUAGCAGGGCCUGUUGUGAUAGGACAAGGAGUGAAGGUUUUAAUCUAAAGGAGGGGAGAAAUUGUUGUCCCUGAGGGUGAUGAGACCACGUCCCAGGUUGGCCAGAGAGGUGGUGGAUGCCCCAUCCCUGGAGACACCCCAGGCCAGGCUGGACGGGGCCCUGAGCAACCUGAGCUGGUGAAGAUGUCCCUGCUCAUGGCAGGGGUGGCACUGGGGGAGCUGGGAAGGUCCCUUCAACACAAACUAUUCUAUAAUUGUAUGAUUCUAAACCCACCUACACUGAUGCCCUAGAGAAAAUACCCACAGCCUGCUUCUGUUAAGCCAAGGAACCUGCAGCUCUGGCUGUGCAAAGGAGGCGGCACUGCAACCUGAUUUGCACCGUUGGGUGAAUGUGAACCAGGCUCACAGCAAUGGGCAAUAAGUGCUAAAUUGCUCCAAGCCUGGAUCUAAGUUUUAAGCAUUGACCUUCUACUGAGUUUCCCUUAACAACCUUUCUUUGUCAUGCUGGGGAAUCACAAUAUUUCAUUUCUGUGAAGGCUUUUCUCCACUGGAGCAUUUACCUUGAGCUAAAAUCUGUGUUAAUGCCAGGGAAGAGCCCUUGCAUGUGUUGCUAAGAAGACCUGGACAAGGCAGGUUUGGCUGUGUCCUGGCUGAAGGUGUCUUGGAGCAAAGAUGCUUGGCUGCAACAAGGGUCAUGGUGCUCCAGGAGCUGGUUCUCUUCUCUGCAGCUGGGGACAUGCCAUAGACCAACUGUCAGGGCCAGCUCAGGUUUGCGCAGUGAUGGGAGGUGGUGUCCUCAGCUCUUCCCUUGUGUUGGCUCAAUGGAGCCAGAGUGAGGGAAGAAAAUGCAGUUUUUGCUCAAUGAAGGUAUCACUUUUCGGCACCACUUUCUUCUUCAGAAGAAAAAUGGUUCCUCUAGGUCUUGACAUCUGCUGCUAUUUAAAGGAACAUCAUCAUCACCAAUCCAUCUCUCCCAAGGUCUCAAGGUAUAGAAAGCCUUAUUCUUCCCAGAUUUGUGAUUGAAAACAGAUAUUACAUGAUGGUAUCCUUUAAAAUGCCAUGUCAGUGAUGGGAAGCUUAUUAAUUAGCAGUUUUGCAAGACAGAAGGUGGCAAUGAACAGGGGAGGGCAGGUGGGAGAUUUUAGGCAGCAUUUAGCACCCCAGGGCAGAUUGGUGGUGGCCACCAGUGGACACCCUGCAAGAGGAACCUGCAGCCUUCGCAGCUCUGUUAUUUGCAUUAUCUGGGAAUUCCCUCAUGACCUGCAGUGGUUUUUCUGCAGGCUCUGGUGAAUGACUGAGUCAGAUGAAGGAUUUCCCAGGCUCAUACCCCCUCUGCUACCUGUCACCCCCAUCAUACACCCACGUGCACACUCCUACAGUCGUGGAACCAAGAGAGCAAUGGGAAAGUGCACCUGGAAGCUUCUCAGAGGGUCCAAGUUAUGGAAAAAAGCUUAUAAAACACCUCCUUGAAGGCUGUCUCCUGUGAGAAGUUGUGUGUAGCAUCCAUCCUCACCCUCUGCCAGAUGGCUCAUAUGGGGUGAAGGCUACAGCUCCAGAAACGCUGGUAGGGAGCAGCCAGCUCCUGCUCUGUAUUUAGAUUUUACAGGUUCAGUGCUGAUGGUAAUUAUUUCUCCUAACCUCAAGCCACUGAGAAGUGAAGCAGCACUCGGAAGCCAAUAAAAGGAGGCUGCUGUCUGUGUGAUUAGCCUGUUGUUCUGAACUCCGCCUUUAGCGAUACCUUGUGUUACUUAAACGUUUAAUUGCUCAGCUCAGUGCAAGGCGAGCUGCUCCUGCCUUCCUCCUCUCCCCUCCCUGCCCUGUGCGUGCACCCACCCACCCACACAGCAAAUUUAAUGACUUUGCUGAUUGCGAAGUCAUUGAGCUCGGAGCUGGUUGGUUCUGUUAGAGUGUUUUGGCCCAAAGACAUGGGCCUCCGCCUUUGGGGAUGUUUGAAUCCUUUCUCUUUCCACAUCUAAAACAUUCAUCUUGUGUGUUUUUGUCCUUAGGAAGCAAAUCCCUUUGAAAGACGUCGGGAAGGGUUCAAAGCCACGGAUGCGACAGCGCUCUGAUACUGUGUCAUUUUUAUCUUCCUCUGCAGGCUCUCAGCAAAUAAACCUUUCAAUUACCAGGGCAAUAAAAAAUGUCAAGGGUGAUUAAAGAUGUGACAGCUGGUGCAUGUAUCUCUAUGCAGUCAAGUCCUUCAGGUUUUCCUGGCUCCCACUGGGACAGACUCUCCCAAUAUUCGUUACGUGUCUCCAGUGCUCCCCACAGUCACUGUUUGAGCAAGCGGAGGUGCUGAGCACCUGGCAGGAUUCGGUACAAAUUCAGCACAACACUGCAAGCCUCAUAUCCAUGUCAAUCUGAACUGUGUCCCUCCCUGCAGUGCCGGGUGUCCUGCCUGCCAGCGAAGCUCCGAGCAUGUGGUCCUUAUGCAGUGCCUCAAGUAUUUGUUACAUCUGGUAUGUUUUCUAUGCAAAAUGAUUUUUAAUUUUUUUUUUUUUUUUUAAGAAAUAAGCUUUUUUUAAACAGACUAAAUUUUUACUGGGGCACCUGGUUUUGCAAAUAUUUGAAGAAGCUGAAAUUUUUUCAUUCUUGGUAGUAAAAAUAACCCAGCUUCUUGCCCACUACACUCAAAAACUAUUGAGCAAAUAUUAAAGCAGAUAAUUUGAGGGGUUUAUAUAACUGUUUUUAUGGUACUGAAUGAACAGAACAUACUUUUCUCACUAGAACCGGCUCAAUAUCCCAAAUCACAGUUGCUCAUUUGUUGGCUUAUGGAGAGCUAAGUGAUUUACACCAGUUAAGAACUUACCACAAAGUUUCAAUAAACCUUUGAAAGCAUGAACCAGAAGAAGAGGAGCUUUUGUUUUCCUUCUGAGAUAUAGGUUUGACAGAGGCUGAAAGAAACCCCCUGGAGCAGAGGAAUUGAACCUGCAUCUCACAUCCCAGCUGAGUGCCCCAACGAACGCGUACGGUGAGUCAGUGGAGCUGCGGAUCCCAACCUUGCAGCACUCACAGGGGUCAGGGAUCUUUGCGGUGACAGCAGUGAGUCAUAUACAUUGGCUGGGACGUUCUCUCCUCUUCACAUCGGUGUGAGCAGAAGAAUCCAGCCCAGCAGCCUCGUCCUCUGAAGCACUCGCACAGGGUACUCCACACCAUGGAUGGUUCAUCCUGGGUGAAACCUCCACCACCUCAGAGUGACACACCUGGAAUGAGGAGACUUGGAGGAACAGAGAGAGGUAUAUGGUAAAGAAGAGGAUUUCAAAUACAGGGCU